rnacentral:rRNA from 1 species
AUGCGGGCCACGCGCCACGUCUUCCGGACCGUCCUCCAGUUCCUCGCCGUCGUAGUCGUCGUCGUCCUCGAGGGGCGUGAUCCGAAGCGAGCUCUUGAGCCGGCCGCUGAGCGCCUCCUCCUGCCGGAGCACCUUGGACCAGGUGUCGGACUCCUUGGCGCUCAUCUUGUGCUGCAGCCGCUUGGACUGCCACACGAGCCUGCGCAUCUGGUCGAAGCGCGGGCUCAUGUGCUUGAUCACCGCGCUCAGCAGGGACACCUUCCACGCCUUCUUCAGGUCGUGCGGCUUCCGGUACGGCGGCGCGCCCUGGUGGGCCUGCGUCUCGCCCUGCGUGCCCCACCACAGCUCCUUCCCCGUCGGCCACCACGGCGGCGCCAGGCCGCGCUCCAGCGGGAAGUUGCGCUGCGGCGGCUCGCAGUGCUGGAGGAGCGCCGAGAGCAUGGAGCCCAGCGUGUUGUCCUGGAUGGCCUGGAGGCGAUGCAGGUAGGAGGCCAGGCCCAGCGGGCUGGUGCUACCGUCGGCGGCGGAGCUGCCGGUCAGACUCAGGGCCAUCGGGCCCGUGCGGUCGAAGACUACCUUGUCCUUCCACCAGCCGCGGAGGCUGUCGGAGGAGCCGGACGUGGGCUCGCCGGCCUCGUCGAUGACGCCGUACACGAACCCGCGCGCGUUGCAGGACUGCAUCAUCUUCAUCAUGUGCCGGAGCACGCCGUCCUGCGCGCGCAGCAUCGCCUUCCGCCGGCACCGCGCCUCGGGACCGUCCUCCUCCUGGUCCUCCUGCCGCCCGGCCGGCGCACCGCUCCUGGCGCCGGCGCGGCCCUCGAGCUUCAUGAGGCGCAUCUGGUCCUUCCACAUGCGCUUCUUGAGGUCAGAGAUCUCGACAGAUUCAGAGGAGCCCGGCGGCUCUGUCUCGAAGUCGAUUAUCUCCUCUUGCUGCUCCACGUCCACCUCCAGCGCCUCGAGGCCGAACGCGGCGUUGCCACCGCCAUGCGCGUCCAGACGCUCCAUGGGAAACGGACUCCAACAGUGGGUGCCCUGAUCCAUAGACACGGCACACAUAACAAGUCUGUUUUAUUUCCGAGCUCGGCCACGAGCGGUCUAUCAUUCAUGGUGUGGGAAUGA